CCUACGGGAGGCAGCAGUGGGGAAUCUUGCGCAAUGGGCGAAAGCCUGACGCAGCCAUGCCGCGUGAAUGAUGAAGGUCUUAGGAUUGUAAAAUUCUUUCACCGGGGACGAUAAUGACGGUACCCGGAGAAGAAGCCCCGGCUAACUUCGUGCCAGCAGCCGCGGUAAUACGAAGGGGGCUAGCGUUGCUCGGAAUUACUGGGCGUAAAGGGAGCGUAGGCGGAUAGUUUAGUCAGAGGUGAAAGCCCAGGGCUCAACCUUGGAAUUGCCUUUGAUACUGGCUAUCUUGAGUGUGGGAGAGGUAUGUGGAACUCCGAGUGUAGAGGUGAAAUUCGUAGAUAUUCGGAAGAACACCAGUGGCGAAGGCGACAUACUGGCCCAUUACUGACGCUGAGGCUCGAAAGCGUGGGGAGCAAACAGGAUUAGAUACCCUGGUAGUCCACGCUGUAAACGAUGAGUGCUAGUUGUCGGCAGGCAUGCCUGUCGGUGACGCAGCUACGCAUAAGACACUCCGCCGUCGGGAGGUACGGUCGCGAGAAUUAAACUACAAGAAGUAGACGCGNGAGACGUGCCGACGGACGACGACGAGGGAGUAGG
rnacentral:rRNA from 1 species